UGGGGAAUAUUGGACAAUGGGCGCAAGCCUGAUCCAGCCAUGCCGCGUGAGUGAUGAAGGCCCUAGGGUUGUAAAGCUCUUUCACCGGUGAAGAUAAUGACGGUAACCGGAGAAGAAGCCCCGGCUAACUUCGUGCCAGCAGCCGCGGUAAUACGAAGGGGGCUAGCGUUGUUCGGAUUUACUGGGCGUAAAGCGCACGUAGGCGGACUAUUACGUCAGGGGUGAAAUCCCGGGGCUCAACCCCGGAACUGCCUUUGAUACUGGUAGUCUUGAGUUCGAGAGAGGUGAGUGGAAUUCCGAGUGUAGAGGUGAAAUUCGUAGAUAUUCGGAGGAACACCAGUGGCGAAGGCGGCUCCCUGGCUCGAUACUGACGCUGAGGUGCGAAAGCGUGGGGAGCAAACAGG
rnacentral:rRNA from 1 species